UACGUAGGGUGCGAGCGUUAAUCGGAAUUACUGGGCGUAAAGCGUGCGCAGGCGGUUUUGUAAGCCAGGUGUGAAAUCCCCGGGCUCAACCUGGGAAUGGCAUUUGGGACUGCAAGGCUGGAGUGCGGCAGAGGAGACUGGAAUUCCUGGUGUAGCAGUGAAAUGCGUAGAUGUCAGGAGGAAUACCGAUGGCGAAGGCAGGUCUCUGGGCUGACACUGACGCUCAUGCACGAAAGCGUGGGGAGCAAACAGG
rnacentral:rRNA from 1 species